rnacentral:rRNA from 1 species
GCACAGUAAACGAUGAAUGCUCGCAGUUUGCGAUACAUUGUAAGCUGCCAAGGGAAACCAUUAAGCAUUCCACCUGGGGAGUACGCCGGCAACGGUGAAACUCAAAGGAAUUGACGGGGGCCCGCACAAGCGGAGGAACAUGUGGUUUAAUUCGAUGAUACGCGAGGAACCUUACCCGGGCUUGAACUGGAGAGGACGGUUAGCAGAGACGCUUUCCUUCUUCGGACCUCUUCAGAGGUGCUGCAUGGUUGUCGUCAGCUCGUGCCGUGAGGUGUCGGCUUAAGUGCCAUAACGAGCGCAACCCUUCUCCUCGUUUGCCAUCAGGUAGAGCUGGGCACUCCGGGGACACUGCCAUCGCAAGAUGUGAGGAAGGUGGGGAUGACGUCAAAUCAGCACGGCCCUUACGUCCGGGGCUACACACGUGUUACAAUGGUCGGUACAGAGGGCAGCCACCCCGCGAGGGGGAGCUAAUCCUAAAAACCGGUCUCAGUUCGGAUUGGAGUCUGCAACCCGACUCCAUGAAGCUGGAUUCGCUAGUAAUCGCGCAUCAGCCAUGGCGCGGUGAAUACGUUCCCGGGCCUUGUACACACCGCCCGUCAAGCCAUGAAAGCCGGGGGUGCCUGAAAGCCGUGACCGCAAGGGUCGGCCUAGGGUAAAACUGGUGAUUGGGGCU